rnacentral:rRNA from 1 species
CCUACGGGAGGCAGCAGUGAGGAAUAUUGGUCAAUGGGCGCGAGCCUGAACCAGCCAAGUCGCGUGAGGGAAGACGGCCCUACGGGUUGUAAACCUCUUUUGCCGGGGAGCAACGGGCGCCACGUGUGGCGCCACUGAGAGUAACCGGCGAAAAAGCAUCGGCUAACUCCGUACCAGCAGCCGCGGUAAUACGGAGGAUGCGAGAGUUAUCCGGAUUUAUUGGGUUUAAAGGGUGCGUAGGCGGAGCGUUAAGUCAGUGGUAAAAUUUAGGGGCUAAACCCCUUACCGCUAUUUAAAAUGGCGCUCUUGAGUGGAAGAGAAGUAGGCGGAAUGCGUGGUGUAGCGGUGAAAUGCAUAGAUAUCACGCAGAACCCCGAUUGCGAAGGCAGGAGGCCGGCUUCCUACUGACGCUGAAGCACGAAAGCGUGGGGAUCGAACAGGAUUAGAUACCCUAGUAGUC